rnacentral:ncRNA from 1 species
CAUCGUGAGGUGGAAUCUGAAGGAAGCCGGAUGUGGGAAGGGUUAACCACGGGAAAGCCUCUGGUCUGACGAACAGAAAUUACAUAUAAGGCUGUGCAUGAGGGUGAGUCUGCAAGACAAGUCAAAGCCCGAGAACUACACGGAAUCAUGUGGAAUAAAUGCGGCAGAUGGAUGAGGGGA